ACUAGGGAAAGGGUGUGGGGAGGUGUGCUGCUCCCUGGGCUGCACAAGACAGCAAAGCAGGGGGAACAGAGUGGCACUCACCCCAGCUCCUGGAGUGGCUGGCGGAAGCUGCCUGGCUGCACCAUGCUCCACCUGUUCCCACUCACCUCUGCUCCUGUGCUCCGCCGUACCCUGGUGCAGGCAGCUUCUGUUGGCUGCUCCCAAGGCCCCUCCAGCAUGGGCUGGGGUGAGUGCGGGCAAGCAGAGCCCUGGGUCAUGUGGGACAUGGCACUCACCCUGGUCCCUGCUGCAGCAGCCCCAGGAGCAGCUGCCACCAGCUGCCUGUAGCUGCUGGGAUGCACCAUUCCUCGAACCUCCUGGGGCUCUGCCUGUCCCUACUCACCCCAGUCCCUGCUGCAGCAGCCCUGGGAGCGGCCGGUGCUAGCUGCCUGCAGCAGGGCAUGGUGCAACCAGGGAACAGAGGUGAGUGGGGACAGGUGGAGCACGGUGCAGCCCAGUGGCUGCAGACAGCUGGUGCCAGCUGCCCCCGGGGCUGCUGCAGGUGGGGCUGGGGUGAGUGGGGCCAUGGCCCUUUCCCCUCCCCUCACAGGCUUGUCUGCUUGGGCAGGGGAAGCGCCUAUGUGGAUUGUAUAAGAGUGAAUUUACCUUGCAUAUAACGAAUUAUGGGCUUAAAUAUGCUCAUCGCAUAAGAGCAGAUUCGUAUAUAAAGAACUCGUUUAAAUCGAGGGAAACCUGCACACUUCUCUGUCAGCUGGCAAGGUGACACAGAGCUGGCUGGUUCCCUGAAGGAAGACUAGAUGUCUUUCAGUCUUUAAACACUAUCAAGGAUUGGAGAGGAAGCAGCUUGUUUUUUCUCUUUUCAAGAUGAUGAUAUUUAUAAUCCUUUAGUCAUGUAGCCACCAAUUAGGUAAGUUUUUGUUUUUUAUCAAUAGGUUUCUGUUUUUGAUGAACAUACUGCUUUGUUUCUUCCUCUAUCCAUAGUCGUCUUCUCAGUACCAGGGUUCUCCUGCUUCAGAUAUGGGUGAGAUCUGUGCUAAUAGUCUAUUUUGUCAGAGCCGUCACUCGGGAACCAGCAGCGGGAAGGAGAGGAGCCAGGUACAUGUGUGUCCCGCAUGCACGUGUGCCCCUUUACCAACUUUACCAACUGACUGACUGGAGGCAGCAGCAGCAGCAGCAGAGGAAUCGGCAGCAGGGGCAGCAAUGGCUGAUCCCCCAAAGGCACCUAAGGAAGAAGCAUCCCGGGCAGUGCCCUCCACAGCAGAGUGGCAGAUGGUCACAUCUAGGACUGGAGAUGGUCGCAGCGAACUGAUACCAGUUCCUCCAGUCUGACUGGACAACAGGUCAAGAGAUCCAAGUGGACCCAGAGGAGCAGGCGACGAGUGCUUUUCACAGGCUACUCCAUUCUGAGAGGAACGGAAGGGCCCAUCUGUCACAAGGACCCCUCAACACGAGAGUGAACGGACGUGGAAGACUGCAUGAGAAUGGCAUCAGAGAGACCAAUCAGUGGCUUUGGCAGUGGUGUCUCGAGGCAGGCUUCGGCUUCCUGGCAACAACUCGCACAUUACGACGAGGGACAUGCUCAGUUGGGAUGGGCUUCACCUGUCCCCCAAAGCAGAUGCAUGACGAACAGAUCCAAGGAGGUGAUACUUCCCCUCUAUCGGGCGCUGGUCAGACCUCAGUUGGAGUACUGUGUGCAAUUUUGGGCGCCACACUUCAAGAGGGAUGCGGAUAACCUGGAGAGGGACGAGAGAAGGGCAACUCAUAUGGUCAAGGGCCUGCAGACCAAGCCCUACGAGGAGAGACUAGAGAAUCUGGACCUUUUCAGCCUCCAGAGAAGAAGGUUGAGAGGCGACCUUGUUUGCUGCCUAUAAGUUCAUCAUGGGGGCACAGAAGGGAAUUGUCCUGUAUGAUUGGACAAGGGCAAAUCUAGCACCAAUCCUUAAGAAAUGGAGAAGGACGGUUCAGGGAAAUACAGACCAGUCAGCCUCACCUCAGUCCCUGGAAAAACCAUGGAGCAGGUCUUCAAGGAAUCCACUGUGAAGAACUUGGAGGAUAAGGGGAUUAUUGGGAGAAGUCAGCACGGAUUCAUCAAGGGCAAGUCAUGCCUAACCAACCUGGCUGCCUUCUAUGAUAAGACGGCUGGCUCUGUGGAUGCAGGGGAAGCAGUGGACGGCAUAUCCCUUGAUUUUAGGGUUUUUUUUUAUCUCCCUGCCUGCCAUCUGACACCUCCAGGGAAGGAAUUUGACCUGAUCAAUGCAUCAAAGAGCUACUCAACACAGCUCACAAAGACACUCUCAUGGACCCAGAGGGACAGCCUUCCUGCUUCAGCUACCUCUGUGCAAAAAUGAAGUUUAUUUCCUACCUUUGGGGACUUUUUACCAUCUUGUACCAUCUACAAUUUUCCCAGACUAUGACAAAGGGACUUUGAUCCUGAAAGCUUGCAGAAAAGGACAUUUUUCUUCCAUUUUCCAGUUGGUCUAAUAAAAGGUAUCAUUUUGGAACCAAGAGUUCUAGUUUUUUGAAUAUUGAUUUUAGCAAGGCUUUUCAUACAGGCUCUCACAGCAUUCUUGCAAGUAAGCUAAGGAAGUCUGGCUUGGAUGACCGAACUGUAAGGUGGACAGAUAGCUGGCUGGAUCAUCAGACUCAACAGGUAGUGAUCAAUAGCUCAAGGUCUAGUUGGCAGCCAGUAUUAAGUGGAGUGCCCUAGGGGUUGGUUCUGGGGCAGGUUUUGUUCAGUAUCUUCAUUAACAAUCUGGAAGAAAGGAUGGAGGGCACCCUAAGCAAGUUCACGGAUGGCACCAAGCUGGGGGAAGUAAUAGCUACACAAUGGGGUGAGGCUAGGAUUCAGAGUGAACUAGACAAAUGGGAGGAUUGGGCCAAAAGAAAUCAUAUGAGGUCCAACAAGGACACGUGCAAAGUCCUGUAGUUAGGAUGGAGCAAUCCCAGGCACCGCUACAGGCUUGAAACCAACCAGUUAAAAAGCAGCUCUGCAGGAAAGGACCUGGGCUUACAGUGGACAAGAAGCUGGAUAGGAGUCAGCAGUGUGCCCUUGCUCCCAAGAAGCCUAAUGCCAUCCUGGACUGCAUUGGGAGGAGCCUUGCCAGGAAACAGACAGAAGGAAUUAUUGCCCUUUUCUCCAUUGGUGAGUACUCAUCUGGAGUACUGGGUCCAGUUUUCGGACCCCAACUUCAGAAAGGAUGUGGGCAAGUUGGAGAUAGCCAACAGAGGGCAGUGAAAGCACAGAGUGGGAUGAGGGACAUGUUUGGGAGAAGAGGCUCAGGGAACUGGACUUAAAUAGUCUGGAGAAACGAAGACGGGGGUGUGGAUUUGAUAGCAGCCUUUAGUUAACUGCAGGGUGAGCCCAAAGAUUCAUGGACUAUAAGGCUGGAAGGGACCUCGGACGAUCCCAAGCAGGAAAGAUAACUGGGGUCAGGUGACUCCAGCUAGGUGAUCGUCCAUUUUCCUAUUGAAGAUUUGCAGGGUCAGUGAUUGCACCAGCUCUGGAGGGAGCUUCUUCCACAGUCUGGACACUCUAACUGUAAAGAAGUUUUUCCUACUGUUGAGCCCAAAACGGUCUUCCUGGAGCUUGUGACCAUUACUCCUGGUGCUCCCCCGAGGGUGCUGUGAUGAACAGUUUUUCACCGAGCUCUUGCUGUACUCCCCUGAUGUAGUGGUAAGCUGCUACCAGGUCCCCUUUCAGCCUUCUCUUUUUCAUGCUGAAGAGUCCCAGGUCCCUCAGCCUUUCCUCGUAUGGCUUGCUGUGCAAGUCUCUGAUCAUGUGGAUGGCUCUUCUCUGGACUCUCUCAAGAUUUACCAUGUCCCUGUUGAAGCGCGGUGCCCAGAACUGGAUGCAGUACUUCAUCUGCGGUCUCACCAAGGCUGAGCAGAGCAGAAGAAUCACCUCCUUGGUUUUGCUGGAGAUGCAUCGAUUGAUGCAUGUCAGAGUAUUAUUUGCUCUGCUGGCUAUAGUUCUGGGUUGGAUGUGGAGAAGCUUGAGAGAGUCCAGAAAAGAGCCACUUACAUUAUUAGAGACCUGAAGAGCAAGCCAUACAAGGAAAGGCUGACAGAUAUGGGAUUGUUCAGCCUAGAAAAGAGACGAUUUGGGGAGAUUUGUGGCAGCUUACAAAUAUAUCAGGGGCUAGGCGAACAACUAUUCACGUAAGUGUCCCAGGAGAAAACCAGGAGCAAUGGUCACUAACUCCUAGAAGAAGGUUUCUGACUGGAUAUGAGGAAAUACUUCUUUACGGUUCGUGUGCCCGGACUCUGGAAUAAACUGCCAGUGGGUGUGGUGCAGGCACCUACCCUGGGGGUCUUCAGAAGAAGAGUGGAUGCACACCUUGCAGGGGUUAUUUUAUCUCAGCACUAUACCUGCCCAGAGCAGGGUGGUUGCACCCGAGCAUCUUUUGUGGUUCCUUCCAGCCUUUCAUUUCUGUGACUCUUAAAGUAGGCAGAAAGACACAUUUCAGAGCAUGUGAAAUUCCCGAGUGUACAAAUGAUCUGUAUGGUCUUCCUUUAGCUCAAGAAGGCAUUUGAGCACUUCCCUAAGGAAAUUCUCUGGGGGAAAUAGAGGAAAAAGAAAGCAAGAGAAAAGCAAACUGACCUUUUGAAACGUAAGUACCUCAAUCCUGUGCACAAGUUAGAACAAGCCCCUGUACUAGAGAUCCUCUGGAAAUGAAAAUUGGUUUUCACUAGGCCCCAUUCCUAACCUACUUCUUAUCACAGUGAUGGGCGUUUGAUCUGCAGAGGGAUUUGAGGAGGACAAGAAACCUUGUGAGAAUAGCAGAGUGAGCUGAAGAGCCCAGGUCUUAAUGUUAAAAGAACAAAGCAACCAAAUUCUCUGGUCUUUGGAGAUGAAGAUGUUGGGAAGAUGUGGACAGAAGCGUCCAGUUACCCUGGUAGAGGUAUCUGGGUUACAUCACGUGUGCAUACGUCACUAAAGGCACAGUUAAGGAAAUGCAUCGUCCCUGUGUUGUAGCAGCAGAGGCUGACAAGAUUUCAAUUAACUUCUGCUGGGUCAUAUCGGGAACUGUGAGAGAAUCCAUCUAGGUGCUUAGGAUCAACAGACUAUUGGAAAGAUAGCCGGAAGGGUCCUCACACGGUCAUCUAGUCCAGCCCCCUGCUUAAGGUGGCACCAGCCCUCACUACACCAUCCCAGACACCUCUAUGCAGCCUGCUCCUGGGACUUGCCAGACACUCCCCCACGUGUCUAGGGCCUGUUCCAGCACUCAGCCCUGCUUGGAGUCACAAAGCUCCUCCUUCAUGUCCAACCUCCAAUUCCCCUGCUGUAGCUUGGGACCAUUGUUCCUCGCCCUGUCCUCUGCAGCCACAGAGAAAAGCCCAUCUCCCGCCUCUCUGCCAUUGCCCUGCAGGGCUUUGCAGACUGGUCAAAUCCCCACUCAGUUUUCUCCUCUCCAGACUCAAUCCCCCCAGCUCUUCCAGCCUGUGUUCAGCUGUCUUGCCUCCCAGGCCCUGAUCAUUUUUGUUGCUCUGCACUGGGCUCUUCCCAAUCUGUCCACAUCCUCCUGGCAGUGUGGGGCCCAGACCUGGGCAGUCUCCAGUGUGGGAUGGAGCAGGAGAACCACCGCCCUGCCCUUGGCAGGGACUUUCCUGUUGAGACAGCCCUGGAGACUGUUGGUUUGUCUGCAACAACUGCACUGGUGUACCUGGGUUCUCAGGCUAAGAGCACAGAUCUUUGUGCCAAAAACCUUGCUUCCUGCCCCAGCCAACUACCAGCUGGCAGAAAAGGGAUCAUAAAAAAGUCUUGGAUUCUCCUGCAUAUUGUGGCAGGACUCGGCAAGUAGCACUGUUAUUCACCAUACUGUGAUGUUACAGGGUUGGAGAGACCUCAAGCAUCUAAUCCAGGCCUCUGCAUGGAGGCAGCAGGACACUCUUCCUAAGCCACUACACACAGCCCCCAUCCAACCUCUGCUUGGAAACCUCCAGGGAAGCAGGGUCUGCAGCUCCCUGGGGCAGCUGGUCCUGUUGCCCUACUGCUCUGACACUAAGAUUGAUUUUUCCCCUGCGAUUUUCUCACCAUCUGUUUUGCUGCACUUCAAACCCCUGGUUGCAUGUUCUACUGUCUGGGAAUGACUGUCACAGGAACAUGAAGAUUUCCAGAAUCUCUCCCAGAUCCAUUCACACUGGCUGUCAGGAGUGAAUGGUGCAGGCCAGUCAAAGCUGAUCUUCCUUUGUGUCGGGUGUACAGUCAGGUGUCUGGAUUUAGCCCAAACGUGCAUAAGUCAGGUGAAGACGUGGGCGCAUACUAGCGGUGCUGGCUGCAGUGGUUUGGAUGGCGCAGGGGCAACAUGCAGGGGUGGAUGCUGCAAGCUCCCUGAGGGCAGGGAAUGUCCCAUGGCUGCAGCACUUGCAGGUUGGCCUUGACCAGCGUGAGCUGGUCCGGUGCCAGGACAGCACUGGGCCAUGUGCCCUCUUCCCUGUGCUCUGAACCUCCAUUCACAAAAGAAAAACAGAAAAGGACAUUUCCUGCUCCCACUUUGUUCCCCUCCAUCUCUGUCUCUGGGUACCCUUAGGGACUAUUUAGAACAGCUGGAUAUAUACAAGUCUGUGGGGCUGGACUGGAUGCACCCGAGGGUGCUGAGGGAGUUUGCUGAUGAGAUGGUAGAGCCACUGACCAUCAUCUAUGAAAACACAUGGGGAUCAGGAGAGGUCCUGGAUGAUUGGAAAAGGGCAAACAUAGUGCCCAUAUUUAAGAAUAGGAAAAAGCAGGAUCCAGGGAACUAAACAUGGGUCGUUCUCACCUCAGUCCCUGGAAAAAAUUAUGGAGCAGAUCCUCCAGGUAUCCAUUUCUAAGCACUCAGAGGAGGAGAAGGGGAUCACGAAGAGUCAGCGUGGAUUCACCAAGUGCCAGCCAUGCCUGACCAACCUGAUUGCCUUGUAUGCUGAGAUGACUGGCCCUGUGGAUGUGGGGUAACUUGAUUUUAGCAAGUCUUUUGCUAUGGUCUCCCACAACAUUCUUGCAGGCAAACUAAGGAAGUCUGGGUUGGAUGAAUGGACUGUAAGGUGGAUAGGAAACUGGAUGUAUCACCAGGCUCAGAGGAUAGUAAUCAAUGGAUUGAUGUAUAGUAAGCAGCUAGCAUCAGGUGGAGUGCCCCAGGGAUCAGUUUUGUUUCAUAUCUUCAUCAGUGUCCUGAAAACAGCAUGGAGUGAUCCCUUGUAGCAAAAAGCCCCCUUUUCCUCUUGCCUGCAUUGGCUGUCUCCUCCUUGGAUAAGUUUCUCUUCUUCUUCCUUUUCUUCCUUCCUCUUUCAUUCACUUUAAGAUUAAGAAUUGUGUUUUAAAACUGGAUGCGUGCAUUUUGUAUCUCCCCUUGUAUUUUGGUAUUGUUAUCUAUUUGUGUGUCAUGGCAUUACUCUUCUAGCUUAUACUUUAUACUCCUUACCUUUCAACGUUCAACUAAAUGUGUUUAGUUUCAGAAGUAAGUUAUACAUUGUAACAAUGUUAACAAGAGCAGGAAUCAAACUGCCAGUUCCCUGUAUCAGGCGGGACCCUGAAAGAGCGAGUGAAUCAGUGAUUGAAUGCAUAACACAGUAGCAGGUAGCCAUUAACACCUGGGAAACCGCAGAUGAACCGAGGGGAAGAAAUCAAUAGGAGACAAUGUAUCAACCGGAAAUCUCUAAACAUCACUGAUCAAGAGCUAGAACCCCUGGCCUGAGUUAAUCAAUGCCAGGGAUCAACAUUUGGGCUGAAUAUUUCCAGAUUGACUGCUGUCAGAGCCCUAUUCAAAAUUCAUCAACGGACUUCCAAACCUGGGCAUAUAUGCAGAUGACCCCUGGGGCUAACAGAUGCCAUCCAGUAGCCACCGAGGGUGGAAGUCCCACAAGGGUCAACGACACCUGGAUUGAGAAAACCUGAAAACUGGGGAGUCACCAAAGUCUGCCAAGGACAGAUAAACAGCAGUUAAAACUGACCUUCAGUGGCACCAUCUUCAUCUCCAACUUGACCAGCACCUCACUUGUCCAGCCAGGAGGAGCAGCCGGCAACCCCCUUCUGGAGGAUAACACCACGCUGAAAGAAGCCUCGACUGGCCAUCGACGGCAGACUCCAGCACUUGUAGGAUAGGUAUACCUGACUCUUGUAGCUUGCUACUGUGUCUGUGCAUGUGUGUGUGUGUGUUUGUGUGUGGGGACCAGCCCCAAGGUUUAUGAUUUAACUUCAUUAGUGUUUCAAUCCGCCUAAUAAACCAGAAUUUUAAGGA